AACGAACGUUGGCGGCGUGGAUUAGGCAUGCAAGUCGAACGCGAAUCCCUGGGCAACUGGGGAGGAGAGUGGCGAAAGGGGCAGUAAGGCGUGGGUAACCUACCCUCCGGGCCGGGAUAGCUUCGGGAAACUGAAGGUAAUACCGGGCGACGCAGCGAGAUCGCAUGGUCUUGCUGCCGAAGGUCCGCCGCCGGGGGAGGGGCUCACGUGGUAUUAGCUAGACGGCGGGGUAACGGCCCACCGUGGCAAAGAUGCCUAGCAGGUGUGAGAGCACGACCUGCGCCACUGGCACUGAGACACUGGCCAGACACCUACGGGUGGCUGCAGUCGAGGAUCUUCGGCAAUGGGCGCAAGCCUGACCGAGCGACGCCGCGUGUGCGAUGAAGGCCUUCGGGUUGUAAAGCACUGUCGAGGGGGAGGAAGCCGCAAGGUUGACCUAUCCCUGGAGGAAGCACGGGCUAAGUUCGUG
rnacentral:rRNA from 1 species